rnacentral:rRNA from 1 species
UACAGAGGGUGCGAGCGUUGUCCGGAAUCACUGGGCGUAAAGGGCGCGUAGGUGGCGAGCCAAGUCCAUGGUGAAAGCUCGAUGCUCAACAUCGAGUCGGCCACGGAUACUGGUGCGCUUGAGCACCUGUAGAGGCUAAUGGAAUUCCGGGUGUAGCGGUGGAAUGCGUAGAGAUCCGGAAGAACACCGGUGGCGAAGGCGGUUAGCU